GCUGGUGAGUUCUGAGUACCCAUGUCUGUCCUUAAUCUUGAUCCUGUUCUGGAUGGUGGAAUCAAUACUGCAGCCCACUUGCAUGUGCUCUCUGUAACCCAGAGAAUGUUUUAUUGCUCUCCUUGUAUUCUCUGUCCCCUCUAAAGAAUAAAAGGUGAAGUUUAUCAAGUGGUAUACUUUUUGCUCACAAGCCAAUAAAGAAGCUGAGUUUGUUUUUCAAACUUUGUUUUAAUUGGGGCUUUUGGGGCACAAUGAGAUGAACUUGUUAAAUAGAGAAAUGAAUCUAUUAUUUCCUGCCAUGAAACUGCGAAACUGUGAAAGAGUCAAUCUUAGUUGCAGUUAAUGGUGACUUACAGAAUGGAGUCUUGAGAAUGUCUAUGCAUCUUUACCAAGGACAUGUUCAUACAAAAUAGGGAAUUAAGAUGCUUUUCCUCAGCAAUUAUUUGCUUUUGAAUUUUGUACCUAUUUGCGUAAUUCCAUUUAAAGUCUUAAUAGAAUUUUUCAAACUAAGUCUACAUGCACAGCCUAGAUAUACUGCAGAAAAAAUUGAGUUCAGAGUAUAACUUUUUUCCUGUCAAGACUUGCAAACUACAAUUUACUUAUUGUUUGAAGAUAGCAGUUUCCAUGGGCUUCAAGCUUAAUUAACUAACAGUGAACUAUGAGCUUUGAUUUUAUUUUUUAAACAGUUUCAUAAAUGAACUUAAUUAUUCCAUAGUGAGUACAAUUUUUUUGGCAUUAACAAAUCAAACAGUCAAAUAUUUGAACUAGUUUUCUAGUGCUACCAUAACAAAGUACCACAGAGUGAGUGGCUUAAAUAACAGAACUUUUUUAUCUUACAGGUCUGGAAGCUGGAAUUUCAAAAUCAAGGUUUGACAGUUGUUUCUUUCUUAGGACUGUGAGAGAAGGAGUUGAUCCAGGCAUCUCUACUUGCUUAGUUGAUAUGAAUUUGAGAUAAAGAAAUGCACAAAGUGGCACAAAGAAGAUCCAGACAUGUUAAGAAGGGAAAACAAUCUAUUUCAGUCUGAAAAGGAGAUGUUGUAAUAACCUGACAACAUUCAAUUGACUGAUCAGAUCUUGGCCUUUGUACAAAUCGAGAAGUAGAAAAUAAGCUAGAAAUAUUACUCAGAGACAGCCCUGAUUCCAUUGAAUCUCAUUUUCCUUCUGUACAAAGUAAAGGUAAUAGAAUUUUGUGCUAACACUGUGUACAUGUACUACCAUGAUAAUAAAAAGUAAAUAAAGAUGUUUUAUUCUUUAAAAUAUUUAUCUAUACUGAGACCCAAUCAUAAUAACAAUUUUUUUAUUGUACUUUCCUUUGUGCUAACAUUGCUCUAUGACUUUUUGUAAGUUAUCUGGAAAUUUUGCAAGGGGUGUUUCUAACUUACAAACAAGACAAUAAAAUAUGAGAAAGAUGAAAGAUUAAAAAUAGCUAUGCAUUCUUAGCAGCUCCUCACUUUAAGAGGGAGAAUCUAUUUUCCAACCCCCUUGAUUCUGUGCUGACUUUAUGACUUGCUUUGGCACUAGGAUACUUUAAAAGUGAUGUUGUAGAUGUUCCAGGUGAACAAGGCAAGAAGCCUAGGAGCUUCUCUCCUACCCUGUUAGAAUGCUGCUGCCAAGCUGAUCCGCUAGAGACACUAGGACCAGGAAAUGGGUAAUACCAACAACCAGACAUGUGAGUGAGGCAGCUCCAAGCAAGUCACCAAGAAACUGACUACAGCCCCAUGAGUGACCCCAGGAGACACCAUCAGAAGAACCACUCAGGUGAUCCCAAGGUUGUUUCGUCACCUAGCCCAAACUGAUGACCUUCAGAGUCAUGAGUCAGAAUAAAAUGGUGGUU
ensembl:lncRNA novel transcript